UACGUAGGGAGCGAGCGUUAUCCGGAUUUAUUGGGUGUAAAGGGUGCGUAGGCGGUUUGUUAAGUCUGAGGUUUAAUUCCGGAGCUCAACUCCGGUUCGCCUCAGAAACUGACUUACUUGAGUAUGGUAGAGGCAAGCGGAAUUUCUAGUGUAGCGGUAAAAUGCGUAGAUAUUAGAAGGAACACCAGUGGCGAAGGCGGCUUGCUGGGCCAUCACUGACGCUGAGGCACGAAAGCGUGGGGAGCAAAUA
rnacentral:rRNA from 1 species